rnacentral:rRNA from 1 species
CCUACGGGUGGCAGCAGUGGGGGAUAUUGCACAAUGGGGGGAACCCUGAUGCAGCGACGCCGCGUGGGUGAAGGAGCGCUUCGGCGUGUAAAGCCCUAUCGGCAGGGAAGAAGAUGACGGUACCUGACUAAGAAGCCCCGGCUAACUACGUGCCAGCAGCCGCGGUAAUACGUAGGGGGCAAGCGUUAUCCGGAUUUACUGGGUGUACAGGGGGCGUAGACGGCGAUGCAAGCCAGGAGUGAAAGCCCGGGGCCCAACCCCGGGACUGCACUUGUAACUGCAAGGCUGGAGUACGGGAGGGGCAGGCGGAAUGCCUAGUGUAGCGGGGAAAUGCGUAGAGAUUAGGAGGAACACCGGUGGCGAAGGCGGCCUGCUGGACUGUGACUGACGUUGAGGCCCGAAGGCGUGGGGAGCAAACAGGAUUAGAUACCCUAGUAGUC